rnacentral:rRNA from 1 species
GACGAACGCUGGCGGCGUGCUUAACACAUGCAAGUCGAACGGUAAGGCCCUUCGGGGUACACGAGUGGCGAACGGGUGAGUAACACGUGGGUGAUCUGCCCUGCACUUCGGGAUAAGCCUGGGAAACUGGGUCUAAUACCGGAUAGGACCACUGCCUGCAUGGGUGGUGGUGGAAAGCUUUUGCGGUGUGGGAUGGGCCCGCGGCCUAUCAGCUUGUUGGUGGGGUGAUGGCCAACCAAGGCGACGACGGGUAGCCGGCCUGAGAGGGUGACCGGCCACACUGGGACUGAGAUACGGCCCAGACUCCUACGGGAGGCAGCAGUGGGGAAUAUUGCACAAUGGGCGCAAGCCUGAUGCGGCGACGCCGCGUGAGGGAUGACGGCCUUCGGGUUGUAAACCUCUUUCAGCACCGACGAAGCGCAAGUGACGGUAGGUGCAGAAGAAGGACCGGCCAACUACGUGCCAGCAGCCGCCGUAA